GCGUGAGUGAUGAAGGCCCUAGGGUUGUAAAGCUCUUUCAACGGUGAAGAUAAUGACGGUAACCGUAGAAGAAGCCCCGGCUAACUUCGUGCCAGCAGCCGCGGUAAUACGAAGGGGGCUAGCGUUGUUCGGAAUUACUGGGCGUAAAGCGCACGUAGGCGGAUUGGUCAGUUAGGGGUGAAAUCCCAGAGCUCAACUCUGGAACUGCCUCUAAUACUGCCAAUCUCGAGUAUGGAAGAGGUGAGUGGAAUUCCGAGUGUAGAGGUGAAAUUCGU
rnacentral:rRNA from 1 species